CCUACGGGAGGCAGCAGUGAGGAAUAUUGGACAAUGGGCGCAAGCCUGAUCCAGCCAUGCCGCGUGCAGGAAGAAGCAUCUAUGGUGUGUAAACUGCUUUUGUACAGGAAGAAACACUCCCUCGUGAGGGAGCUUGACGGUACUGUAAGAAUAAGGACCGGCUAACUCCGUGCCAGCAGCCGCGGUAAUACGGAGGGUCCGAGCGUUAUCCGGAAUCAUUGGGUUUAAAGGGUCCGUAGGCGGUUUAAUAAGUCAGUGGUGAAAUCUGGUCGCUCAACGAUCAAACGGCCAUUGAUACUGUUAGACUUGAAUUAUAAGGAAGUAACUAGAAUAUGUAGUGUAGCGGUGAAAUGCUUAGAUAUUACAUGGAAUACCAAUUGCGAAGGCAGGUUACUACUUAUGGAUUGACGCUGAUGGACGAAAGCGUGGGGAGCGAACAGGAUUAGAUACCCUGGUAGUCCACGCCGUAAACGAUGGAUACUANUGUGUGNAUNUNAGUGNGAGAGAAGAGAGUAAGUAAGUACCACCGUCGGGAGGUACGGUUCGGUCGAAGAAAGUUAAGUAAACGUUAACGAAAGGAAAGUUAAGUUACGGCGUGAGACGAGCCGACGGACGACGACGACGGGAAGGGAGGAGG
rnacentral:rRNA from 1 species